CCCUGGUUAGUUCAGUUGGUAGAGCGCUCAACCGGAAAUGGAGAGGUCCCGGGUUCGAUGCCCGCACCAGGCG
rnacentral:tRNA from 1 species